UGCAGAGAACUUUCCAGAGAUGGAUUGGUGCCUUCGGGAACUCUGACACAGGUGCUGCAUGGCUGUCGUCAGCUCGUGUCGUGAGAUGUUGGGUUAAGUCCCAUAACGAGCGCAACCCCUAUCAUUAGUUGCCAUCAGGUCAAGCUGGGGACUCUAAUGAAACUGCCUACGCAAGUAGUGAGGAAGGUGGGGAUGACGUCAAAUCAGCACGGCCCUUACGGUCCAGGGCUACACACGUGCUACAAUGGCCGGUACAAAGGGUUGCCAAGCCGCGAGGUGGAGCUAAUCCCAUAAAACCGAUCGUAGUCCGGAUCGCAGUCUGCAACUCGACUGCGUGAAGUCGGAAUCGCUAGUAAUCGUGAAUCAGAAUGUCACGGUGAAUACGUUCCCGGGCCUU
rnacentral:rRNA from 1 species